GAUGAAGAACGCAGCGAAAUGCGAUAAGUAGUGUGAAUUGCAGAAUUCAGUGAAUCAUCGAAUCUUUGAACGCACAUUGCGCCCCUUGGUAUCCCGAGGGGCAUGCCUGUUCGAGCGUCAUUUCACCACUCAAGCCUGGCUUGGUGUUGGGCGACGUCCCCUUUGGGGACGCGCCUCGAAACGCUCGGCGGCGUGGCACCGGCUUUAAGCGUAGCAGAAUCUUUCGCUUUGGAAGUCGGGGCCCCGUCUGCCGGAAGACCUACUCGCAAGGUUGACCUCGGAUCAGGCAGGGAUACCCGCUGAACUUAAGUAUAUCAAUAAGCGGAGGA
rnacentral:misc_RNA from 1 species